CAACGCUCCACCCCAGGAUGGCUCCGCCUCUGUGGGAGUUCGUAUCGGUAAAGUUGGAAAUAUAUUCACAGGGAUCCUAAAUAAUGAAGGAAAACAUGGAACACUCAAGUGAAACCAAAGAAAAGCUGUGACGGCACCACAUGCAUAUAUCUUCCAUGAAGAAAUGAAUGAACUGGACAGGAAGUGGAAAUAAACUUGAGACGUGCUCAGGUCUCUCGAGACAUUUUGUUAUUGACUGGAAACUUGAGCUUGUCGAGUUGUCUAACAGUUUCAGUGGAGCCGUAUUGAAACGAGACCUUCAGAUUUGUGUUCUGGAGCCGUCUGACAAACAUCUUUAUCCAGACUGAUACAUGAGGACGAGGACGCUGCACACUGUUUCUGCUCUGGUGCUUUUUAUAUCUGUUUUGAUUCUUCUUGUGUAUGUGGGAGACUUCGGCCUGUGAAGCGCAGCCUGCUGUUUCUCCUCCACCUCAUGUCAUCCACACUUCAACCAACGCCUGUUUCAGUCACGUAUCACUGCCAACUGGAUUCUGUUUAGUCAUCCAUGACAGUCCUGUUGUGUGCUGCAUGUGUCAAGAAGCAAAUGUGGACUUUAUCCUGAUCUGGUUUUCUGGAUAUCGUCUGGAUUUCACGUGUGAAAGAGACUCGAGGACAGAAGACAGUAUUCUGGUUUUCUGUCGAUUCAGGUUCAAAUGAAUCAUCUCGUAUCGUUUUAUAACGAGGUCGUGAAACAAGGUUAAGUUUGUAGAACGCACAAGAACAGAAAAGAAACGGAAGGACUGGUAAAAAAUAAGUCAUGAGAAUAAAUGAUUGUUUAAUGUUGGAGUGUUGAGGAUGAGUUCAGGUGUCAGGUGAACAUUUGGUCCUAAGAGGAGGUUAUUUUUUAACACUAUUGAUUAACUGCUGUGACGAUGGUUUAAUACACUGUGUUUCUUUUAAAACACCAUCAUGUGUCUGUGUCUGUUGUUAAGGUACAAAUUGUAUAUAUUUUAUGUACAGUGAGCCUCUGAAUGUCCAGACAGCUCCACGUAAUGAUUGUUAUAUACUGUAUAGAUGUUUUGUGAACAUAUCACAGCUAUUUGGGUUUUAAAGCUUUAUUUUCAUGUUUGUUGUGUUUUGUCCUGUUUGAAAAUAAAGCACAAAGAAACACUGGAGCUCAACUUGAGUCCUGCUCUGCAAACACUCCACAGUUCUGGAUCUUACAGAUGCUUCUACUGACCUCUUCUGGAGGAGUUUCAUGCCUGCAGCCUCUUCCAGCAGGGAUCUGACCUCAACAUGACUGUAACUGACAGAAAAUAAUAUGAUAACAGCAUGACAAUAAUAUAAUAAACUACUUCAUACAAAUCAA